rnacentral:rRNA from 1 species
CCUGAAGCAACUGCUUGCCAUAUUUUGUUGUUCCGUUUGCAACUCAAAUGAAUUGACGGAUUCUCCUCCUUUGAAUUGACGGAAAUGUCGGUACGUGUUAAAAAGUGACCGUACCUUACUAAUAGGGAUCGGCUAACUCCGUGCCGGCAGCCGCGGUAAUACGGAGGAUCCGAGCGUUAUCCGGAUUCAUUGGGUUUAAAGGGUCCGUAGGCGGAUCUUUAAGUCAUUGGUGAAAUCCCACAGCUCAACUGUGGAACUGCCGUUGAUACUGGGGGACUAGAGUUCUCAUGGAGUAGGUGGAAUGUGUCGAGUAGCGGUGAAAUGCAUAGAUAUCACGCAGAACACCGAUUGCGAACGCAGCCUACUAUGCUGAAACUGACGCUGAGGGACGAAAGCGAGAGGAGCGAACAGGAUUAGAUACCCUGGUAGUCCACGCCGUAAACGAUGAAUACUCUCUGUUGGCGAUAUACUGUCAGCGGCCAAGCGAACGUAUUGUGUGAUCCCCCUGGGGAGUACCACUGCAACGAAGAAACUCAAAUGAUUUGACGG